GGAUCGAUGAUGAGCCUAAAUGUUUGAGGACGGUUAAGGACACAUGGCAGAUGUACAUCUGACGUCC